rnacentral:lncRNA from 1 species
UUUCUGAUUGAAUAAAGGACACUUUAUUGAGUGUUGCCUGAGUGUGGGGAAAAGGGCUGGGAAGACCCAGAUGGGAGGCAAGAUCCUCCUGGAGGUCCUGAGGCUCCGAGCCCCCUUCGGUGGGCGGGGGGCAUCGGGAACCUAAGAGCACUCUGCGGGGGCCACCUUCUUCUCCACAGUGCUCCCCUCGUGCGUGACCAGGCAGCUGAAGCUGCUGUGAGAUUUCCACUUGUCAGGCGUCAGGCUCAGGUAGCUGCUGGCCGCGUACUUGUUGUUGCUCUGCUUGGAGGGCUUGGUGGUCUCCACGCCCUGGGUGAUGGGGCUGCCGUCUGCCUUCCAGGCCACCGUCACGCCGCUGGGGUAGAAGUCGCUGAUGAGGCACACCAGGGUGGCCUUGUUGGCGCCGAGCUCCUCAGAGGAGGGCGGGAAGAGUGUGACCGAGGGGGAGGCCUUGGGCUGACCUGUGGGGACGGAAGGCCGGUGGGUCAAGGCAGAUGUUUGUUGUGUCAGCACCUACCUGAGUGCUGGUGUGGAGGUACAGCUGUGUCAUGUCCAUGUCUUGGGCCUCAGGCGGUCCUUGCUCCUUGAGGUCACAUCAGCUAUGGUAUUAGGAUAACUCACCUUCCAUUGGGGGAGCAUCCGAAUGUCCAAUUUUGGAAGAGCUGAGCCCCACUGUCGUGUCCUCCCUCUCCAUCGUCACAUGUCCUUAUUCCCCACGUUUGUCCCCCAUGGGUUCCCUUGUUAGUGGAUUUAUCAGCAGGACACUUCGUCUUUCCCUGUCUGUCCUAUGGCGUGUCCCGCCAGGUCCAAGUCUGGAGUCUGGUCAUGUAGACCUCAUCUGUCUGUCAUGGUGCUAGGCUCUCAACCCUUUCUGGGCGGGAUUUUCCAUGUUUACCCUGAAUCUAUCAAUGCACUCCUGGCCACUUCCUGACAGAGACCCUCUGAGGCUGCCUGAGGGGGAGAGAGAGUCUGCCGUGGGAUGCAUUCCAGUACAGUCGGUGGAGGGUUAGUGGAAGAGGUGUGUAUCUGGAGCAGGGGCUUUUCUUAGGGGUCACCUUGCCCAGGACCCUAUACUGGGGAUCUGCCUGUCCAAGCACUGCAGUGUGCCU